AGGUGAGCAUAUGGUUGGUGAUUAAGGAUAUGCCCCGAAUGUUCCAUCUGAAGCCUCUGCCAAUCUCUGCCUUAUUUGGGCAGUGGAUGUCAUGAAGCUUCAUCACAGUAUUUCCCUCAUCUCCUGAAGGAAGACAUAGGAGGAAGGAGGGACCAACCUGUGAAGAAUAAUUAUCUCAGGCUGAGCCUUUCAUAGGUCUUUAAUGAGAGUAAGUCUGAUGAAGUACAGUUUCAGAAUACUAUCUUCAAGUGAAGGAAUCUUACGUGAUGACUGGCCAUCCAAUUUCCAUUGCCAAAAACAAAACAAAAACACCAGUACUAAAGGAAUGUAAGAUGAUGAUAUCCUUUUCAGUUUAGUGACUGUUACCUGACUGAGAAGAGGAAACUGUCAAAGAUCUUCCUCUGAGAAAAUGGCAGAUCACAAAGAAGACAACUCAUUUCUGAGGAUUCUAAUUUUCAGUAUUAUUGUCAUGGAAAAGAGAUGCCAACCAAGAAGCCUUAAGUUAUUUGGACCACAUUCAAAGGCCUGUGUAUUGAAAAUGGCUUCUUAGUUUCUGCGCUCAAUUAUUCUAACAUCAAGAAAGAUCUCACUAAAGACAGAGUAAUGAAGACAA